rnacentral:piRNA from 1 species
UAUGAUUUUACAUAAUCCACUGCAUCUUUU